AUGUACGACCGUGUUGACGGGACGUCCGCGUCCCGGCCUGAUUCUGAAUUCUUUUUUACGCUUCAUCCUUCAGACGACCGCGGCAUUCACCGCAUGAGGCCGCCAGAAGAGAUGGCGUAAUAUUUUAAUUAAGCGCGUAAUUUAACGUCGAUAGCAUCCUGCGCACGACCGCUGGCGCGCGGCGCGUCAUGCGUGUGCUGGCGACCAGACACAUCCAGAACUUCCUGGUUAUUCACCAGCUCGCCUAAGGUAAUAUUGUUGAGAAAACCGGUCAGGCGAUCGCUUAAAUCACGCCACAGCGCAUGGGUCAGGCAUUUAUCGCCGCCCUGACAGCCGCCUUUGCCCUGGCAACGGGUCGCGUCAACGGAUUCAUCAACCGCGCUGAUCACUUCGCCGACCGCAAUACUGCCAGCAUCUUUACCCAGCAGAUAACCGCCGCCCGGCCCGCGUACGC
rnacentral:misc_RNA from 1 species